rnacentral:lncRNA from 1 species
UUCCCAACACAUGGCCCAUGGCCUGCAGCCAUUCAAUUUUCUACAGGGUCAUGCCUCACACAACUAGCCCACAUAUGAUGUGGGAUGUGCCCUUUAUUUGUUUUUUCUCGACCCGAUGCCAUUUUUUUGGUACCCCGUGCUUCUUAACCAUACCCAAAUAUUUUUGGGAUUUUUUUGGUUAACUUUAAAUGAGCUAAAAUUCACUUGUCACUUGGCCUGCCGCCAAUUGAAGCUAAUAUGACCCGCAUGUCAUUAUUUCGCUUCCACCCCGAAUGGUCCUAAUCUAUUGAAUUAAUUAAAAGUGACAUGCAGUCCAUUAAUCUAAUAAUUAAUCCUAAAUUAUUGACCUGAAGAUCACUUUUGGACAUUAAUGAUUCAAUAAUUUAUUUUCAUACUUUGAACCGUUGACAUGCUUUCGUAGUCUAGAAGCACUCACACAUGAGUUCCCGAAGAAACUCAAAUCCACUACAUGAUAGGAGCAUAUUUAUGCGACUGAGUUAGCUUGUUCUCAUACAUUUAUGUUGUUAUUUCUUAGUUAAUUGUGUAUUUUAAGCUAUUUUCGUGUGUUUGUAGGUCCAUAGGCCUUAUAAGGCAAUAAGAUGCAUUUUGGUGCAUUUUGGAGCAGUUUUGGGCUUGGAAUGAACAGCACAUGCAUGGAGCAAGGUGGAUGGACGAAAUUGAAGACUAAAGAGGCUAGGAAUGUGUUAAAGAGAAAGAAGAAUUAAUGUAAAAAGGACAAAGAGCUCAGCCAUAAAUGGGUGUCACUCCACCAUUUCUUGUUCCCUCCAUCAUUUCAGAUUUCAUGCAUCAUUACAUUGAAUCAUUGCACUCAAUUACUACACCAUUCCUUGUUCCCUCCAUCAUUUCAGAUUUCAUGCAUCAUUACAUUGAAUCAUAGCACUCAAUUGCUACACCAUUCCUUGUUCAUCAUUUCAGAUUUCAUGCAUCAUUACAUUGAAUCAUAGCACUCAAUUGCUACACCAUUCCUUGUUCCCUCCAUCAUUUCAGAUUUCAUGCAUCAUUACAUUGAAUCAUAGCACUCAAUUGCUACACCAUUCCUUGUUCCCUCCAUCAUUUCAGAUUUCAUGCAUCAUAUUGAAUCAUUGCACUCAAUUGCUACACCAUUCCUUGUUCCCUCCAUCAUUUUAGAUUUCAUGCAUCAUUGCACUCAAUUGCUACACCACUCCAUGUUCCCCCCCCAUUGUCAUGCACUUCCUCUAUAAAAGGAAGUGUGUGUAAAAUUGGGGGGAUACUUGGUUAGAUCAUUCACUCCCAUUUCAACACAACCUUCAUCCAAACACAUCCAUUCAUCUUCACAUCCAUUCCUCCAUACAAACAAAUCUUCAAACACUCACCAACAUCUUGUGCCGUAGCAAAGGAAGGGAAGGAAAGUGCUUGGACGUGCUUGCUGUCCAACUUGGAUCGUUUGAGCGUUUAGGUGUUUUCUUUCUUUUGUUUCUAAUGUUUAAAUUAAUUUCCUUUCUUUUUGUUGUAAAUAUGAGUGGCUAAACCCCUCUUGGCUAGGGGUGAUUUCAAAGCCAUGAUUAUGUGUGCAAUAUAAUUUGAUAAAUUUCAGUUAUGAACUCUUGAAUCAUGAAUGCAAUUGGCUUAACUAUUUGAUUGAUAA